AAAACUGAUGCCAAAGACAGCUCUUUUGACUCUCGACACAAAAUUCCUCUCAUGUUAACGAUCUCAGCUAACUGCAAUGUAGUUAUCUUUUAAAUUAGCCAAGAAAAGACCACUUUUUUACAAAAGGUAUUUUAGCCAAUAUGGGUUCAUAGAUCUCUAAUAUCCACAAAUCAUUAAUAAAAUAACAGAUUCUUUUUGAGAGGAAAUGCUUGCUCUCUACUCAUCGGGUUGUCUAAAUAGUUUGCAUUAAUAUUAAAUGGUUGUUGAAAAAAAAUAACACAACAAUGAGCCUUAGCAAAAAACAGAUACUUACUGAACACUGACUACAUAUCAGACACUGAGCUAAUAACUUUUCACACAUUGUCCCAUUUAAUUUCCACAACCUUAAGAGCCAUACCCUAUUUUUAUUUCCAUUUUACAGAAGAGGAAACCAAAGGUAAAGAACAAUUAAGCAACUUGUCCAAGGUCACACAGGGAAAGGGAUGGAACUAAGAUUUGACCUCAAAACCUACGUUUUUGCAUUCCCUGGAGGAGAAGCCAAUAGAGUCAGGUUUAGGAAGUGGUAGAGAAGCUCUAUCUUCACCCUUUCAGGGUCUGCGUCUCAACCUGCACCUUAAAAAUGAAGGCUUUGGGUUAAGAAAUGGGCACUUAAUCUAUGUGGUUGUGAACAUUAAUUAGAUCCUUAAAAAUCAUUUAAAGUAUUUUGAGAUUCUCAUAUGGUGAGUAUUUUGAAUAUCUCAUACAAUUAUGCCUGUAAUAUAAGGUGAAUUGUUUCUGUCCAUGGCUCUGAACGUAACUAUUUCCCUUUUCUCCAUCAUGGCCAAACACCACCUUCAGAGUAAGAAAGAUACGUGAGUUGUAUUUUUACCUUUGACAAUUGGUGUUGUAUUUUAUUAAAUAUUAGUGGCCAAAUUAAAAAAAAAAUGUUUUCAUGCUCCUUCAAAUAGCUUCAAAAGAUGAGAGAUUUUUUCCUCCGGUUAUCACUGUCACCAUCGUUUUGUGAGAUUAUGUGAAAUACUGAGCAAACUGAGCUCAAAAGGGGAACUGAAAAAAAAAGGUUGCUU
rnacentral:lncRNA from 1 species